UACGAAGGGGGCUAGCGUUGUUCGGAAUCAAUGGGGUAAAGGGCGCGUAGGCGGCCGAUCAAGUCGGGGGGGAAAGCCUGUGGCUCAACCACAGAAUUGCCUUCGAUACUGUUUGGCUUGAGACCGGAAGAGGUAAGUGGAACUGCGAGUGUAGAGGUGAAAUUCGUAGAUAUUCGCAAGAACACCAGUGGCGAAGGCGGCUUACUGGUCCGGUUCUGACGCUGAGGCGCGAAAGCGUGGGGAGCAAACAGG
rnacentral:rRNA from 1 species